AUGAUUGAGGAUGAAGAAACCCAAGACAUUGUAAUUGAAGAACUUAACAUGUAUCAAGAUCAGCAAGGAUCUUUCGACCAUGAGAUUGCUAUAAGGCAAAGGAGAAACAAGAAUUUUAAUCCAGCAAAAUGGUGGCUGAACCAUGGCACCAGCACACCAAAGUUGAGAACUUUAGCAUCUAGGAUUCUUAAUUUGACAUGCAGCUCAUCAGCUUGUGAGAGGAACUGGUCAGCUUUCAAAGAGGUUCAUACAAAGAAGCGCAAUAGGAUGCUGCAUGACAGGAUGAGGGAUCUUGUGUUUGUGAAAUUCAACUCUAAACUAAGGAACAAGAGAGAGAACAAAAACAGAGAUCCCAUAGAGAAAGAAGUAGAUGAUGUUCUUGCUGAUUAUGACAAUGAGUUCAUCACUGGGAAAGAACCAACUACAGAAGCAAAUGAAGAACAAGAGAAAGCUCAUGAAGAUGCAUCGGAAGAGGCACCAAACAGGGCAUCAUCAUCACAUGGACAAGCCAAAAGGAAGAGGAUUUCUCGGCCUAGGAAGAAAAUCAGGACCGUGAGCCUGCAGUCCUUGAUGGCUAUGCGUGUUGAAACAAUGCCGCAAGCUGCUUCUUCUUCUGGAUCGGAGUCUGACAAGUCUCCUUCAGAUUCUGGAGAAGAAUAG
rnacentral:rRNA from 1 species